ACCAAUUUCAACUGAAAUAUCCUGGAUUGUCUAAGGAUCUAAAUUCUAGUGUAGAAGACAUGGCCACUGAAUGGCUUUUAAACACUAUCCCACUUCUUACCUCAAAGCUUCAAGAUGCCAAGGAUUUCCUCUGUGAGCUGGAGAGGUAUCUUCCGACACAUGAGCUGAAGUUAAAUAACAUUCCUAUGAGAGGAACAAAUUUGAAAUGUUCCACUCUGUGUCCUUGGUGUUUAUAUGAAACCAUUCCAUGAGCUGAGACCAGUCUGGACCUUUUCCAUAGGUUCUGCCUUCUGCAGGUUUUAUCUUGCAAGUGAUUGUCUGUCCAUCUUCUUCAAAUGGAUGUUGCCUCUUUAGAGACCAACUUAUGUUACUGCAGAUAUGAUUUCUUCAAGAAAC
rnacentral:lncRNA from 1 species